rnacentral:lncRNA from 1 species
UAGGUUUUAAAAAAAGAACAGGAAGAUGUGAGGGAGAUGAACUUACUAUCAGGUUGGGGAAAAUAGUGCCGGAUCCUAAAUCCCUGCACACCACCACACAGGAGCACCACGGGAUCUUUGGCUCUACCUGGGCGCCAUGGUUGCCGAGCUCGGCACCUCGGUGAAGCACGCCAUCGCCCAACCUGCACCCCACACACAGAGAAAUCGAAUGGGAGAAAAA